UCUCUCUCUCUCUCUCCUCUCUCCAUCUCCUCUACUCCUCCUCCAUUGGAAUGAACGGCUGGACCGGCGGAUGGCAAAUCACGUGAUCUGCCCCCUCCCCCCCCCCCCAACCGGCCGCUCUGGAAUCGGGAGCUCGGAGGAGACGGACGGGACUAGCACCAGCCACGCACCCUUCGUCCAAUGUAGAAUCUGGAUCUAUAAUUCAUGAGACGCCGGCAGCCAAUCAGAGGAGAGCUUACAUGGGAGACGGAGUCAGAUCGAAGCCCUGAGAUAGGAGGCCUGCUCAGGGCAGGACAGAGCAACUACGACAGCUUCCUCAUCCGGACGCGUUUCUAGACACUUCCGCCCACCGCUGGAAAACUCCGGUCCCGCUGCUGCUGCUGCUGUCGUUGCUGCUGUCGUUGUUGCUGAUGAUGGUGGUGCUGAUGGUGUUGAUGAUGGUGGUGAUGGUGCUGGAGCCGGCAGCUUCAUCUUCUUCUUUUUCUUCGUCUUCUUCUUCGUCUUCGUCUUCUUCUUUUUCUUUUUACCUCCUGUCGUCGGUUGAGGUUGAGAAUCGUUGCUGCUGAAGAUGAUGAUGCAAGGACGACGACGACAAUGACGAUGACGAUGAAGAUGGUGAUGCUGAUGUAGCUGAGGCUUGAAAUUGUCUUCUGGUUGCUGCAACGAGCUUUAUGCAACGUCUCCCUCUCUUGGAGGAUGGCAAACUGUGUACUACGCAAGUGGCCUUAGACUGCUUUGUGCCACAACACCACAGGGAUCAGAUGAGCUGACCUCGCCGCGCACUCCUGCCCGCAGAUAGUUUAUGCCAUGAGGGAAAAUAAGACAUUUGAACUGACACUUAACACUUUAAGACUUAGAUCCCAACCAAGUGGCCACCGCACUAUAAGAAUGACUUGAGAUUUCUUGUGACAGUGUUCGAUGUCAUCGUAAACAACAGAUCUUACGACUCUGUGCCGAGAAAUGUGAAACAGUUGAACCGAGUGUGGCUGACGACUGUGGCAGAGAAGAUAAAGCUACAUCAGCUGUGAUGAAAACAAAAUGGUGACUGAAGCUUUGAUUGCUCGACUUAGCAACCUUCGAUGAAAGAUGAAGGCCUGGAAGAAAAGAACGGCUCCGAGAAGCGACGAAGACGACGACGACGAUGAUGAUGAUGAUGAAGAUGAAGAUGAUGACGACAAUGGUGACGACCUUGAGACGACAACGACAUCAUCACAGCUUCG